rnacentral:rRNA from 1 species
CAUGCAGUCGACGGUGACGACCAGCUUGCUGGUCUGAUCAGUGGCGAACGGGUGAGUAACACGUGAGCAACCUACCCUAGACUCUGGAAUAACCAUGGGAAACGAUGGCUAAUACCGGAUACGAGACGUGCACGCAUGUGUGGCGUCUGGAAAGAUUUAUCGGUCUGGGAUGGGCUCGCGGCCUAUCAGCUUGUUGGUGGGGUAGUGGCCUACCAAGGCGACGACCGGUAGCCGGCCUGAGAGGGCGACCGGCCACACUGGGACUGAGAUACGGCCCAGACUCCUACGGGAGGCAGCAGUGGGGAAUAUUGCACAAUGGGCGCAAGCCUGAUGCAGCGACGCCGCGUGAGGGAUGACGGCCUUCGGGUUGUAAACCUCUUUCAGCAGGGAAGAAGCGAAAGUGACGGUACCUGCAGAAGAAGCGCCGGCUAACUACGUGCCAGCAGCCGCGGUAAUACGUAGGGCGCAAGCGUUGUCCGGAAUUAUUGGGCGUAAAGAGCUCGUAGGCGGUUUGUCGCGUCUGCUGUGAAAACCUAAGGCUCAACCUUGGGCUUGCAGUGGGUACGGGCAGACUAGAGUGCGGUAGGGGUGACUGGAAUUCCUGGUGUAGCGGUGGAAUGCGCAGAUAUCAGGAGGAACACCGAUGGCGAAGGCAGGUCACUGGGCCGCAACUGACGCUGAGGAGCGAAAGCAUGGGGAGCGAACAGGAUUAGAUACCCUGGUAGUCCAUGCCGUAAACGUUGGGCACUAGGUGUGGGGCUCAUUCCACGAGUUCCGUGCCGCAGCAACGCAUUAAGUGCCCCGCCUGGGGAGUACGGCCGCAAGGCUAAAACUCAAGAAAUUGACGGGGGCCCGCACAAGCGGCGGAGCAUG